rnacentral:rRNA from 1 species
GACGAACGCUGGCGGCGUGCUUAGCACACGCAAGUCGAACGGAAAGGCCCUGCUUUUGUGGGGUGCUCGAGUGGCGAACGGGUGAGUAACACGUGAGUAACCUGCCCUUGACUUUGGGAUAACUUCAGGAAACUGGGGCUAAUACCGGAUAGGAGCUCCUGCUGCAUGGUGGGGGUUGGAAAGUUUCGGCGGUUGGGGAUGGACUCGCGGCUUAUCAGCUUGUUGGUGGGGUAGUGGCUUACCAAGGCUUUGACGGGUAGCCGGCCUGAGAGGGUGACCGGCCACAUUGGGACUGAGAUACGGCCCAGACUCCUACGGGAGGCAGCAGUGGGGAAUAUUGCACAAUGGGCGGAAGCCUGAUGCAGCAACGCCGCGUGCGGGAUGACGGCCUUCGGGUUGUAAACCGCUUUCGCCUGUGACGAAGCGUGAGUGACGGUAAUGGGUAAAGAAGCACCGGCUAACUACGUG